rnacentral:misc_RNA from 1 species
CCCCACCAGCGCGCUCCCACCCACCGCUCAGCCUCCCUCUUCUGUACUGCGCUCGCGCUUGUCACGUGUGUGUUCUUCUCCCCGACGUAUCGGUGCGUUGUCUCUUUCCCUCAACGCCUUUUUCGCCCACAUGCUCACUCCUAAAAGGAGAGCCCGCCUUGUACGCGCAUGCGCGCGCCCAUCCCGGUGAGAGGUGAAGGCAGAUGGCGUUGCGGGGACGGCGCACGAGAAGAGACAGAGAGAAGGCGAUUGGUCAGGUGUGUGGGGGAGGGGGGACGGAGGGCGGUAGGCGCUCUUCUUCAGGUACGGAGAACACGAUCUACAGCGCCUUAUGCGCGGUCACGCGGAGGGUUGUUGAGAAAGGAGCGACGGCGGUGGAAAGCGGCAGCCCAGCCGCUAAUACACACAUUCGCAUCACCACCCACACUGGAGAAGGGAGGGCAACGCAACCGAUUUAACAUUUGCAUUUGAGAAGCCGGUUCACGGGAAAGCAGUCGCUUCGACGAGUCGAUCUUUUGCGCGUGAGGAUGCCGUGCGCGGCGAUGACGUGCUGCCUUCCGCUGCACUUUGCGUCUUCCCUUCCGGUCUCGAGUUCCUAUGCGGAGGUGUUACUCCAUCAGCCAUCCCCCACGCCUGUGAGUGCGACAUCGUUCCUUGAAGCCAUGCGGUGGACGCCACGCCGUCUCGGCUGCCUGCCCCUUACGAUGCGCCAUUCCGUCCUUUUACGAGCCACGGCGCCCGCAUUGUCCCUCUAGCAACGCGCAGACGUGGGCGGCACCGUUGCUGCCCAUUCUAGUGCGCUUCUAGUACUGCCGCACAUAUGCGAGCCAAGAGACUCGCAGCAAAAUGCGGGUGCUCCUGUUUUUUUCUUCCCGCGUGCAUAUGGGCACAUCCCAGUCUCCCCGCUUUGUUCUCCUCUUCAGUGACUGACAAGCCUCCACCCAGUUUCUCUCCCCUCGUUGCUCCUUUCUGCCCUUACUCACGUCUGCUCUACACUUUUCCCACUGUCACCGCGUCGUUCUCCCAUCGUCAACGCUGCCCUCCUUCUUACUUUUCCGGUUUCAUGCGUCGCAUCGUUCGACGCACGCAUUUUGAAUCAACCAG